rnacentral:rRNA from 1 species
CCUACGGGAGGCAGCAGUAAGGAAUUUUCGUCAAUGGGGGAAACCCUGAACGAGCAACGCCGCGUGGAGGAUGAAGGUUUUCGGAUUGUAAACUCCUUUUGUGAGGGACGAUAAUGACGGUACUUCGCGAAUAAGCCCCGGCUAACUCUGUGCCAGCAGCCGCGGUAAUACAGAGGGGGCAAGCGUUGUCCGGAGUUACUGGGCGUAAAGCGCACGUAGGCGGUUGGGCAAGUGGUGUGUGAAACCAAUCAGCUUAACUGAUUGACGCCAUGCCAAACUGCCCGACUAGAGUUAUGGAGAGGUUGCUCGAAUUGCCGGUGUAGUGGUGAAAUGCGUAGAGAUCGGCAGGAAGACCAAGGGAGAAAUCAGGCAACUGGCCAUAUACUGACGCUCAGGUGCGAAAGCGUGGGGAGCGAACUGGAUUAGAUACCCAGGUAGUCCACGCCGUAAACGAUGUAUGCUCGGUAUCUGUCGCUGUUUAAGGCGGUGGGUACCUCAGGAACCCGGUAAGCAUACCGCCUGGGAAGUACGAACGCAAGUUUAAACNCAAAUGAAUUGACGGCUGAAGACGNGCGAGACGACGACGAGGAGAG